GAUCACCCCGACGCGGGUGGCGAGGGUCCCGCCGAGCGCCAGGUCUAAGAGACACUUUUUCCCGAGUCCACUGACGGCUUCUGAACCCCUGCUCCGGCCGGUCCGCACCGUUCCGGCAUUCUCUUGCUCAGUAACAAUUUCGCAGAAUCCCAUCACGUCACAAACCAAACCCCCUCCAAUUGGCCAGUGGGGAGGGUGAUUCAACUCUGUUUACUUUCUCCCCCUGCCAGUCAGAACGGCCUUCGGUGGAGAGGUGCGUCUAGAACUGAGGCGUGCGGCCAAUCCGACUGUUCCGUUUCGCUGCCUCGUGCUACCCCUACAGCCUCGAACACUGACAUUUAAAAGGGUAACAGCUGGGAGGCAGGGAAGGGGCAGCCGCACACUUUCGGAGUGCCUCGCGGUCCCGUGGCCGGUCCGGGCCUCCUGGCUCACGUUCCAGCUUGCGGAGCUUUGGGACACAUCUUUCCUAGUCAGUUGCGCUCGUUCCUAUGGCAAAAGAGAACUUCAGCUUCGGUUUUCCAGCUCCCAAACAGUUAAGUGACUUCCUGCAAACGCUACAGUCCCAGCAACCAGCCUUCCAAUCAAAAUGAAUAAACCAGCAGACCAAUUCAGAGCCCAUUUCAGUGGUGCAGGUGAGAGGUGUUAGAGACCUGGACAAGGUGGUGGCAGAUGAAGAUGGAGAGAAGAGAGAUAGGAUCUCGCUAUGUUGCCCAGGCUGACCUCCUGCCUCAUGCAUCCCUCACCAAGCUUAACAGGUACAUCACCCAUAAACGAAAAGAAUCUUCCUAAAACACCUGGAACCAAUUCCUGGAGUAAUCUCAGCUUGGCAGAGUUUUUCACCUUCUCCUCUUUUUCCUGCCUGGAACAUGAAUGUGAUGACUGGAGGUGAGGCAUCUAUUUUGUGACCAUGAAACAAGAAAGCACAAAAGGAAUAGCUGAGCCUAAAAAAUAGAAGGAAUCUGGAUCUUUGACUUCAAUGAGCCAUUGUUGAGCUCUGGGCUCUUCAUUUUUUGUUAAGUGAGAAAAAUAAAGCCUUAUUUAUUUGCAUUAUUGUUAGCCUGGUUUCUGUUAAUAGAAGGUAAAUGGAUUCAUAACUGAUAUAGCAGUAGAAAGAGCCCAGUGGAAAAUUGAACCUUUAAGUAGUUUAUGAAUCAGGGUUAUGGGGAGAGAACUGCUUUGCCAGUUCUUAAAUGGGACAAGUCAUUCUUCUAAUCCCAUGCCCUCGAGAUGUGAUAGGGAUUGUCCCAAAUAUUUGGAGCCCUGGAUUUUGGACCCUCAGGGAUUUAGUUUGCUGAGGUGGCUCUUGCUUGCUUUGGGACAUUAGCCUGAAUUUGCCUGGGGCAUGGAAAGUAUGAAUGUAAAAGCAGGUGAGAGAAAAGAAAAUACCAGAAAUUAGACUGCUCUUGUCAAAUAUGGGAGGCUUCCUGAGGUGAGGAAGACCUGUAUCACAGGGAACACUUGAGAUUCACUCAUGAAAUUACACAGAGCAUUAGUCUCGAGGGAGGGGAAAGAAAAGAGGCAGUUUAGAGAGGCCCUCAAAGCACAGAUGAUUGCUAUUGCUGCUAUGCUAUUGCUAUAUUUGAGACUCAAAGGAGUAUAUUUAACACUUAUUCUGCUGGCACUUCAUUUAACUUCUUUGGCUAUAUGUAACGCCUUUUUAACAAAAAUAAAAUACUAUUUUUUAAAACUCCAUUAACACGUCAAAUUUUAACAAUAAAAAUUAAAUUGUACAUUUCAGUGUUUUGUCUGAGCCUCUGCCAGAACUUGGCAGUGCCCUGGGUUCUUUUAAUUAAGGCUACAGAUGGAUAGUGAAAAGUUCAGUUUCCCCGACUGAUUCAUACAAUGCAGGGCCCUUGUCUCUGACCUUCACCCUUUUCCACCCAGCCACAGCACUAAAAUCUUUCUUCUCUGAGAAAGCAGACAUGGCUGUUCCUCCCUUCUGAGCAUCCAGUAACCUGGCAAUGCUUUCGUUGCUACCAUUGGUGAUAACGACAAGAAAACCCUGAACAGCAACUGCAUGGAGCUGGCUCCCAUCUAGCCCAAUGUCUGGCUUAUUCAGGUUCUCUGGCCUUCUUUGAGGGGGUGGGCACUGGAAAGGAAAUGGAUCUCUGGACCAUCCUACUUCCUGCAUUGUAUUUACAAACACCACCUUCCUAAGCUCUCUGGAUAAGUGAGGUUCCUCUUCUACCACAAAUGACUCAUGCUGUAUUGUAAAUUAUUUUGGGACUCUGAGCUAGCCCUCAGCAUGUUAUCCACUGCAGGCUAUCAUUCAUUAGAGCAUCCCGCUGCCCCUGAUUUUGUAUCCCAUGCUCCUCCACAUUGGCUAGAGUUCCUGAGUCGAGAAGCUUAGGGUUUAUUUCAUAGGUCAUCCACCCCGACCCCUCCAACUUUUCUCUUUGCUUAAAUUUGUGUUUCAGAUGGAAGCAGUGAAUUCUGGAAUUCCCAGGUCUCUCUAAUGUAAAUGUCUAGAAAGAAGUUGGGCAUUGCAAGGUCAGGGAGGGUGUUAAGAGCUUCAGAUUUAGAGAAGCUGUUGACCAAAUCGUUUUGGUUUCAAACCUUAGAUAUACUGGUGACCACACAGAGGGAAGUAGACUCCUGGGCUAUAAUCCCAGAGGCUCUUGUUCAGUAGAUUUGAUGUAGGUGGCCUGUUUGACACACUUUGAGAAACCAUAGGAGCUUGCUGGUAUGGGAUUGGAUUCCCAGUGGUUCUUAAUGGAGCGUGGUACCCAAAGGGUAUUUAGGAAUCUGUGGGAGUCACCAGUAUUUAAUGUGUGGAGGCUGGAUAUGCCAAACCUCCUGCAGUGUGUGGCACAAUCCUACACAACAAGGAAUUGUUCUGCCUCAAUGCUAAUAGAACCUCCUUUUAGAAACACUGGGCUGGAAGGUGGAUGGUGAAGGGUCUUCUGUUUUGUCCUCCGAGUAACAGAAAGCUGGGCUGGUCUUCUCAUGAGGCAAUCUAGGCACAACCCCUAAGGUUUAGGAAAAUGUUUAAGAUCAGAAAAAAUUAUAGGUCCAGAAGUUAUUGCUUAAAUUAUAUAUAAUGUAGCCUUGGGUGGCAUAUUAAUAUCAUUGAUGUAUUUUGGGUUGAGAUCUCUGGAAAGCAAGAAACUUAGAACUUAUGAAGGUUCUAAAAUAGCCCUGCUGGAGACUGAUUGUAUCUCUCUAAGAAAGACAUGAGGCUAAGAGUGCUCAAUUUCAGCCUCUACCAUCUUCUUUCUGACAUUAUUUCUCAUUCAAGUCAACUCCCUCAUCCCCCAAUGCUCUCCAAGCCUUCAGAGCUGUCUGCAGCCUGCAAGAGGUAGGAGGAACUAGGUGGGCAUGCGAUUCUGCGUGAUUGCCUAUAGGAAGUGGUAGGGAUUUCUGAUUUGUGGCAGCUCGGCUGU
rnacentral:lncRNA from 1 species